CCUACGGGAGGCAGCAGUGGGGAAUAUUGCACAAUGGGGGAAACCCUGAUGCAGCCAUGCCGCGUGUAUGAAGAAGGCCUUAUGGUUGUAAAGCACUUUAAGCGAGGAGGAGGCUACUGAGACUAAUACUCUUGGAUAGUGGACGUUACUCGCAGAAUAAGCACCGGCUAACUACGUGCCAGCAGCCGCGGUAAUAAU
rnacentral:rRNA from 1 species